GUCUGGCCAUGCCACCCUGAAUGUGCUUAAUCUUGUCUGAUCUCGGAAGCUAAGCAGGGUCGGGCCUGGUUAGUACUUGGAUGGGAGACCACCUAGGAAGACCAGGUUCUGUAGGCA
rnacentral:rRNA from 1 species